rnacentral:lncRNA from 1 species
AUGAUUCUGAAGAAGCAGGGUGUUUAAUAAGGAACCUAACUAGCAAAUCGAGGAGUAGACCAGAUAUGAAAAAUAGGACAGCUAAUAUAACUAUAAUGAAAAGAACAGCUGGACUAAUAUAAAAUUUAGUUCUCAGGUGGGGAUGAAGAAGAUGUGUUUAGUUCUUUGUGAAAAUCUGAAAUUUCACCAAAUGGGGGAGGGGGAUAUGUAAAGACACCAUCUUUUCUAUGUUGAAUCAAGAACUUCUCAAAUGGGUAUGACUAGAAACCCAUCUUUGUGACCCAACUUUACCAAAUGAACAAAUCAUCUCAAAAACACAUCCAAAAGAACCCAACUUUCUCAACUUCUUUUCACCAUCUCUGAACCAAAAAUCACGCAAAACACACUUGAAUUCAAGCAGUUCCAAUAAAAAAAAACCUACUAUUAACACUGCCCCAUCAGAAGACUUCUAAGAAUGAAAUCGAGCAAAAACAAAAAUUCUUACCUGUUGACUGUUGAGAGCAAAAGCAAAAAUCGACUUGGGUCUCUUCAGUUUUCAGCAAAAUCGAGCUUCAAUACUGAUGCGGUCUUUGAGCCGAUGAGCGUGAGUGAGGCAGAGUUCAGACAGAUCGCGUGAAAAUUGAAAAUUAAAAGAAGAUGAAAUGAUAUGAAACCCUAAGCCUAAGUGACUAAGUCUGGGAAUUGGGCAUUUGAAUUUUGGGCCUUUAGAGUUUUGGGUCAGUGGUGAGUGGACGGGUGUGCUACCAGAGUAUCAGUAUUGGACAGUGUGUGCUUUUUUUAUCGGGUUAUCGAGUGGCCCAAUAGAAAAAUAAGUAAAUUUUACAUAUAUAUCGACAUGUUUAACAUUAAUUACUAAAAAUCUCAACAUCUUUCAAAAUCUCCUAAAAUUUCAACAUUUGACCUCUGGUGAUACAAGUUAAUUACAUUAGAUACAUACUGUUGAUACAUGUAUUAAUUAACUAAGUCAGACAACCUUCCAUAAAAUCAACAUUAAAGCUAAUUAAUUAAGGUAAAAAGUAAAAUCAAAUCCCACAAUUAGUGGGAAUCCGCUUAAUACUCCCCUUUGUUAAAACAUAGUCUCUUUUAAAAAAAAAUUGAAAUUUAAAAAAUCUUCAUUCUUCUUGUUCAGACAAAACAUAAUUUUUUUUUGUUGAUUUGCUAAUUUCAUUUCUUUGAUAUGAAAAAAGAGGAUAGAUAAAAUCUAGGGCUGCAUAUCGGUCGGUUCGGUUCGAUUUUGAAAAUUAUCGAUUUUACUUAUUCAUUAUCGGUUUGUAUAUAUGCUAAACCGUUAAAGAACCGUUAAGAUAGCAGUUAAUCGGUUAUCGGUUUAUCAUUGUUAUCGAUUCGGUUAUCGGGUGAACCGUUAACAUUAAACAUAUCUAAUUUAAAGUACAAAGCUAGUAAGCAGUAAGCUACUGCCUACGAUUACAUCGCUACGACCAACUGCUUAGUGUUUUUUCUUGUUUCUAUGCACAAAGUCCCUAGCACAAAGCCACAAAUAGAAUACAAAAUAUUAAAACUCAAGUCAAAAAUUAAUUUAAAACUGUUAGCACAAACAAAAUAGAAAAAUUCAAAGUAAAAGUCACACGCUCACACAAGUUGAAAAUUAAUAGGAUUAGCCGAUUAGCAGUAGAAUCAUGUUCCCAGAUGAUUCCAAGCAGUUAGAUUUAUACCAAUAAUUCCAAAACAGAAUCAUGUAAAUGAAACAACUGCUCUGAACUAGAAACUGCAGGGUAUCCACUAUCAAUUAGACUGAGAUGAUUCUGAAGAAGCAGGGUGUUUAAUAAGGAACCUAACUAGCAAAUCGAGGAGUAGACCAGAUAUGAAAAAUAGGACAGCUAAUAUAACUAUAAUGAAAAGAACAGCUGGACUAAUAUAAAAUUUAGUUCUCAGGUGGGGAUGAAGAAGAUGUGUUUAGUUCUUUGUGAAAAUCUGAAAUUUCACCAAAUGGGGGAGGGGGAUAUGUAAAGACACCAUCUUUUCUAUGUUGAAUCAAGAACUUCUCAAAUGGGUAUGACUAGAAACCCAUCUUUGUGACCCAACUUUACCAAAUGAACAAAUCAUCUCAAAAACACAUCCAAAAGAACCCAACUUUCUCAACUUCUUUUCACCAUCUCUGAACCAAAAAUCACGCAAAACACACUUGAAUUCAAGCAGUUCCAAUAAAAAAAAACCUACUAUUAACACUGCCCCAUCAGAAGACUUCUAAGAAUGAAAUCGAGCAAAAACAAAAAUUCUUACCUGUUGACUGUUGAGAGCAAAAGCAAAAAUCGACUUGGGUCUCUUCAGUUUUCAGCAAAAUCGAGCUUCAAUACUGAUGCGGUCUUUGAGCCGAUGAGCGUGAGUGAGGCAGAGUUCAGACAGAUCGCGUGAAAAUUGAAAAUUAAAAGAAGAUGAAAUGAUAUGAAACCCUAAGCCUAAGUGACUAAGUCUGGGAAUUGGGCAUUUGAAUUUUGGGCCUUUAGAGUUUUGGGUCAGUGGUGAGUGGACGGGUGUGCUACCAGAGUAUCAGGAUUGGACAGUGUGUGCUUUUUUUCUCGUCAGUAUUGGACAGUGUGUGCUUUUUUUAUCGGGUUAUCGAGUGGCCCAAUAGAAAAAUAAGUAAAUUUUACAUAUAUAUCGACAUGUUUAACAUUAAUUACUAAAAAUCUCAACAUCUUUCAAAAUCUCCUAAAAUUUCAACAUUUGACCUCUGGUGAUACAAGUUAAUUACAUUAGAUACAUACUGUUGAUACAUGUAUUAAUUAACUAAGUCAGACAACCUUCCAUAAAAUCAACAUUAAAGCUAAUUAAUUAAGGUAAAAAGUAAAAUCAAAUCCCACAAUUAGUGGGAAUCCGCUUAAUACUCCCCUUUGUUAAAACAUAGUCUCUUUUAAAAAAAAAUUGAAAUUUAAAAAAUCUUCAUUCUUCUUGUUCAGACAAAACAUAAUUUUUUUUUGUUGAUUUGCUAAUUUCAUUUCUUUGAUAUGAAUAUUUCGGUGUUUUUACGUCAUUUCGGUGUUUGGAUUAACGAAAUCGAUUAUGUUGGUUAUAAGAGUGAUGAAAUUGUGGUCAGUGAACAUAUGUUAGUUACGAAAAAUUGAUUUCUACAAUUGAGGUAGAGUUUGAAAUCGAUGAAGCAAGGAAAAAAAAAUAGAAUCUCGUUACAUUGUAGAAGGUAAUGCUUGUCCGUUGUUGUAGAUACAUGUUGUAAAUUUAAUAGAUACAUGUUGAGCAAGUUUCAUUCCUAGAUACAUUUUGUUAUGAAAAUGAUAAAUUCUGGUCUAUCUUGUCCUUCUUAGCAAGCUUUUGACGUAAUUUCUUCAUACUUUUAGGAUUGUUUCUAUGUUUUAACCUAUUUCAUGAAAACCAUCAAUUUCAGAAUCAAAACCUCCCGAAACAAAGUUUACAACUUCUUGAGAUUCUUUGAUACUCUGUAAUUGAGAAACCCCAAAACUAAUAGAAGAUCCAAACUCUCUAUUCAUGCUGAUAAUUUACAAUGAAGCAUAAAAAAAGUGAAAUUGAAGAAAUCUAGCUACAAAAAGACAGAACUUGCGGCAAAUAAUCUUUUUGAAAAAUAAAAACGUAAAAAACGAAUUAAAUAAAUUGAAAUUGGAUUUAGGGGAGGGGGGAGGAAAAUUACCUUGAUUGAUUUUUUUUGAAUAAGAUGGAGAAGAUGAUAAAAAAUGGUCAGAUUUUACACCGUUCAAAGAGGAGAUUUGGAGUCUUUUUGAUAAAAAAAAAGGCUUUUUAGUUGUAGGUUAACUUGAAUCUGAAAGAUAGUAAAAAAUAUGAAAUGUUAGGAUUUAAAGUAAUUUUUAAGAAGUGAAGGAAUUUUUAAAAGUUUAGAUAGUUAUAUUGUAUUUUUAGGUAAUUUUUUCGAAAAAUAAAGAAACCCGAGGCCCGAACCGAUAAUCCAUUAGUGGAAAUUGUUAAAUCGAUACCCGACCCGAUAUUGAAAAAAAAAAACAACCCUGAUAAAGUAAUUAUCAGUUCAGGUUAACGGUUUUAACCGAAUUUUGCAUAGCCCUACGAAAUAGUAUAAAAGCUGACCAAUUGAAGUAGUGACACUUUAAAAGUUUAAUAAUAAGAGCCAUUUAGCACAAAUAAUAAAUAUCAACCUCAAAUAGGAGGUGGCAACUCUUGAUUGUAUUGCCACCUAAAUAUAUGAUCUUCUAGUUCCACCUUCUUGUUAUGAUGUUUUAAAAUAUUUUAGUAUGUCAAAUUGGCAAUUGAAAAAAUAAUCAUAAGUAGUUGAGAAUAAAAAUAAAAAAAUGAAAAAAAUGCAAAAGAUAUUCUACACCUAAGAGGUCCACGAUUAGCUGAUAACCCCCGAUCAACUACUCUAAUUCCUAUCAGAUUACGAUUGAUAGAAUAUUAGAAUUGCAUUUUGUAUCUUAAUCGUAAUAUUCUUUAUUCUGAAAGUGAAGUACAUAUAUAUUUUAAAAUUUGCCAAUGACCCCACCCCCGCCCCACCCACCACCCCACAAACUUUGUUUUGAUUUCGCUUUUUGAAAGUAAAAUUGCAUGAACUUUGAUCAAUAUUUAAAAAUGUGUAUUUUCAUCUUAUUAGUAUGAGAAUUGCAACUUAUUACUUUUUUCUUUUAUAAUUUUUAAAUAUCUAAAUUUUAAAUAUUAAUUUAAUCUGCACCAAUACUUUCAUAAAGCGAAAAUUUACAAGUAAAAGUGAAUUGUGGAAGUAUAUAAUAUGUGUCGAAAGAUCAUUUUAUGCACCAAUCACGCUAAUAGCUGUCUUUGUCAAACAUAUUUACUCUGAUUCGUUGGCUUCUUCAAUUGUUGGACCAUGGUUUCCAUAAUUAAUUAUAGACAGACUGAAUUACAUCUCGUAAUUAAUCCAUAUUUAGUAAAUUUUAUUUUCACUUUUCUCUUUCUUUCUUUCUGCUAAUAAUUAAACAAAGUCCACGGUUUUGUGCCCCUUGCUUAAGCCUAAAAGGGGAGAAAAGUAAGACCCCGCUAAUUUUGGCAGCACUCGUGGGAAGUAAUUUUUUAUUUUAAACUACCAUAUAGUAAAAUUUCAUAGUAGGAAAAAGCUAAUUAAGUUACACUAAUAUUUUAUUAUAGUUAACUGACCCUUCUUUUAGCCCUUUGUUCCUUUUGUGCAUCUAUUUUCUAUGCCUUCAUUGGUCAACUGCCCAUCAAAAUGUUUUUACUAAUUCUUCACUAGUUCCACAUAUAUAUAUAGAUUUAACGGAGUUGAGCUGUAUUUAAAUUGUUCGAUUUCAAUCAAGUUAUUUGUUUAAUUUUAAAAAAAGACUAUACCUUUUUCUUUGAUAAUGAGGGUCUAAUAUAAAUUCGAGUUUCAAUCGACGACUAUUAAUUAUCUAUAAUGAAAUGAAAAAAAUUUACAUAAAGAACACAUGUAAUGCACUUAUAUCCAUUAUAGUUCAUAUAAGCAUAUUUUCUCAAAUUUCUAAGUAAUUUUCCUCUGGUCAUGAGUCCCAUCCAGCUCAUACACGUUAAAUUCCUGUAAUAAAUUAGCAAAUGUGUAGAAUUGAGUACAUCUUAUAAACUUUAAAAUAAAAGUGAAUCAAUAGUUCAAAUCAAUUAGCAGAUGUAUGUGGCAGACUUGCCAAAGAAAAGUCGAUUAUUUUGGUACUCCAUGAAUGAAACAUGGUACUGUAAUAUACAUUAUUCUAAAUUUCUAAUAAUAGUCUGUAAUAUAUUUUUCUUUAGGCAUAGUCACCAUGUGAGUAUUGACAUAAAUUAGUACUCUGUCAAUAAAUUAGUACACUUUUUGUUACUUAAAUUUCAUAUCUAAUUAUGUCAGUUAUCAUCAUUAAACUGAAUUAGGACCACUAAUAAAUUUUAGUCUUUGAAGAUGGUGUACAAUUUUCUGACUUAUAUCAAUAUUUAGGAAAGUUUUACAACUUCAUAUGGGCCAUUAUCCUAUAUAUGAUCUAUUGUCGUACUGAUCCAUUGUUAUACAAUUAAUCAAUUUAGACAGUGAUUUGUCUAUACUUCACAUCAUAUUUACCCUAUCAACUGUGAACCAAACAGAAUUAAAAGCCAAAUUUAUAGAACAGAUUUAUUAGAAUGUAAUAAUUUUAAUUUACGAAAUUCACUUUAGUAUGUAAACAUGAUAGGUUCAACUCCACUAAGCAAAAAGUAUUACGAUUCAGAACGCAUAAAUACAAAAAAUAUUAAAUUUUAUGGGGGAAGCUAGCACGAGUUACAGUUUUGGUUGAACCCACUAACUUUGAUCAAAACUGUAUAUUUGUCUAAAAAAGCCUCUUGAAUAAGUUUAAAUUAUUAAUUUAGAAUCCAAAUGAAUUAAAAUCUUGAAUCCAUAAACUUCAAAUUCUAACUCCGUCUCUACUAAAUUCGCUCCGGGGGCUUAGAAAAAAUUGGAGUAAAUAGUUUACCCCAAUAUAUUAAGAUGGCUGAACUACGCUUACCUAGCAUCUUCUACAUCUUUUCACCAAACUCAUUAGGUCAGGCAGAACUACAAAGAAAGGUGAAAGAUAGAAAGUCAUUUUAAGGUUGUCAAGAUAAAAAAUAUUACUGCGUAGAUAUAUAGAUAAAUAUAUAUUUUUAUAAAUUUUUUCAUUCGGUAUUCAAUUUCCGCAUUAUUAGAAACUCAACUAAUUUGAAUCGAGCAUAACAUGGCUCAUUCUUAGGGAAAUGCUUCCAAUAAAAUUUUCUUCGUAUCUAGAGCUCAAACCAUAACUUCUGAUUAAGGGUAGACCAAUCUCAAUACUGCACCACAAACCAUAUUAAUUAGUGAGUAGAUAUCAAGAAUGCAGCAGUAGCUAGACAUCUUUUUAACUUCAAGUACACUUUAGAAAACAUUAUUUUGCAUUGUCUUCUUAAUUUAUUGCUUUCCUUUUUCAUGAUUGACAUGAAGUUAACUGCCUCAUACCUAAAUUCAUUCCAUUCUAGAAAGGGCAGAAAUAAAAUGAAGGUGAAUUCCACCAUGUGAAGGGUCAGUAACUCUUAACUGUAAUCAGUAAUCCUUUCUCACUGUUAAAAAAGAAUGUACCCUCUAUACCAAUUCCUAACAAUAUACUGUUGUAUUUAUUGUUUCCAACUAUUAUUUCUGACAACUUUAAAUUGUCAAUAUCAGUUCUCAUCUUAUAAUAAAGACGCAGAGAUAUAUAUAUAUAUAUAUAUAUAUAUAUAUAUAUAUAUAUAGGAGAUUGGUUCACGCAAAUUUAGAAAAAUAAAUAAUAUCAAACCUUAUAAAUAUUCCGACUAAUUUUUUGUUAAUAUUUUAUGAUGAAUUCGGUUACUAUAUUAUUGCAAGUAUUGACUUGUUGUCAUUGUAUGAAUUUAUGAAGUUCAAAAUCUUUGAUCAAUCCCUAGUUGUAACAUGCUCAUAUAAAUUAAGACGGAAGAUAUAAAUUUUUUGAAGUUGGUCCAACAAAACAAUGCUAACAUGUAAUUGCUUAAGAAAAAGCAUGUACAGAUCAUUGAACAUGAACAUCAACUGAAUGGAGCCAAAAUUAGUAAGAAAUAAUAUUCAUUUAAUCAUUAUAGAUGCACGUCUGUAAUCAUAUAGAAAUAAUCGAAAGGGAUAUUCUGUAUAGUCUGGAACAAUUGAAGGAAGAUAUAUCGAUCAUAAGAAAUUCCAACUAUUAAAUAAAAUAUAAAGAAGAGAAAUUCUAUCAAUUAGUGACUUGGGAGGAAACUCACACAUAUACGGAAUGCCAGAUUAUAAUAGAGACAAUUCGACAACUCGAUAUUCUAAUAAUACCAAAAACAAAAUAAAAAAUAUUACAUGGUUGAGACAAAUUUUUGAAUAUUAAGAUCUCUGAGCAAGUUAUGUCAUGACAAAUGUUCUUUGCUUCCAAAUACUAUUUUAACAAAUUAUUAAAAGCCUUAUAUGGUUCAAAUAGAGGCAAAGAUUUUAAGAGAACAGAUGUCGAUGUGUUAUGUGUGUAAAUACUUUCUUUAUUUUAUAUUACUUGAUUUUUGUUGACAUGAUAUAUAUUUUAAUCAAAUGUGAAUUUUAAUAAACUAAUCUUACUAAUGAUAUUCUGAGGCUCUAAAUUUGAUUAUUAAGUCUUUGUUAGUUAUUUAAAGGAAAAAGUGUA